rnacentral:rRNA from 1 species
GAUGAACGCUGGCGGCGUGCCUAAUACAUGCAAGUCGAACGAACAGACUAGGAGCUUGCUCCUCUGACGUUAGCGGCGGACGGGUGAGUAACACGUGGAUAACCUACCUGUAAGACUGGGAUAACUUCGGGAAACCGGAGCUAAUACCGGAUAAUAUAUUGAACCGCAUGGUUCAUUAUUAAAAGACGGUUUUGCUUUCCCUUCUAGUUGGAUCCGCGCCUAAUGAGUUAGUUGGUAGGGUAACGGCUUACAAGGCCAACGAUGCGUAGCCGACCUGAGAGGGUGAUGGGCCACACUGGAACUGAGACACGGUCCAGACCCCUACGGGAGGCACCGGUAGGGAUCCUUCGGCAAGGAGCGAAGUCCUAACGGAGAAAGGCCGCGGGGGUGAGGAAGGUUUUCGGAUCUUAAAACUCGGUUAUUAGGGAAGAACAAAUGUGUAAGUAACUAUGCACGCUGUGACGGUACCUAAUCAGAAAGCCACGGCUAACUACGUG